UCAGCGUCCCAGUGUCGUUUUUAUUCAAAGAACCCAUUGCCGAUUUCAUUGAGUGACGAUUGAAGUUAUUGACCCAAUGCCAAUUUUAUUGGCGAUUGCGUGAUGACAAAUCAGAACAAUGUUCCAGCACAUUUUUAAAAACCUGUAAGAUAUGGAGAGAAUUUUCUGGCCCUAAAACAACACAAUAUCUACAUGUAAAUGGGGAUAAAUUUUCAUCUAAAGCAGACAUACAAGGUGUAAUAUACAGCCUGCCUUUUUCAUAGUGAAUACAUUGAAGAACAAACACCAUGACCCCAAACUUGCUUCAAAAUAGGCCCCACUCUGCCUUAACAUGAGAAGUUUUCAAAUCGUUUGACCAUUAUCAAAGGGG